GACGUAGGGCGCGAGCGUUGUCCGGAUUUAUUGGGCGUAAAGAGCUCGUAGGCGGCUUGUCGCGUCGUUCGUGAAAACCUGCGGCUCAACUGCAGGCUUGCGGUCGAUACGGGCAGACUAGAGUGAUGUAGGGGAGACUGGAAUUCCUGGUGUAGCGGUGAAAUGCGCAGAUAUCAGGAGGAACACCGAUGGCGAAGGCAGGUCUCUGGGCAUUAACUGACGCUGAGGAGCGAAAAGCAUGGGGGAGCGAACAGG
rnacentral:rRNA from 1 species